rnacentral:lncRNA from 1 species
AGCUCGUUCCUCUGGGAACUGCCCUGUAGUGUCUGCAUACAGCCACCCUCGACCUGUCUGCCUGGUCUUUGCAACCUCUAGUGGCUGUUGUUCCACAAUGUGUUGUGAAGGUAAGGGACCUGAAUGGUUUGCACCCAAACACAAACACAAACCAUUGGGAGAGUGAUUGGUGAAGUGGUGGUGAAGCUCCCUUCCUAGAAAGGUCAGAGCCGUUCCUUCCCAUUCAUGUGUUGAAAUAAACACAUGAUUCAGUUAUCACCCUUCCUCAAACCCCUCCAGCUUACAUGCUUUGGGCACCUCGAUCCCAAAACUUCAGUUAGAACUUCUGCCCAGAAGCCUGCCUGGACCAGGGACACCAGACAGGUGCCCACCAUAACUGUCAUCUGAGAGGCUUCACUGAGCAAAUAAUGAAAACAGAUGCAGAGACCCACAGCCAGACAUUAAGUGAAGCUUGGGGAAAUCUGUGGAAGAGGAGGAGGAAGGAUUGAAGGAGCAAGAGAAGUCAAGGACACUAAAAGAAAAUCUACAAAAUCAUCUAACCCUGGACCCUUGGAGGCUCACAGAGACUGAACUGGCCAGCCAGAGCGCAUGCAUGGGAAGGACCUAGGACCCCUGCACAUAGGUAACAGCUGUGCAGCCGGGCCUUCAUAUGGGACUCCUAACGUGGGAGCAGGAGUUGUCUCUAACUCUGUUGCCUGCCUUUCUCCUAACUGGGCUGACUUGUCUAGACACAGUAGAAGAAGAUGCACCUAGACUUACUGCAACUUGAUGUUCCAAGGCUGGUUGUUAUUCAUGGGAGGCCUCCCCUUUGCUGAGGAGAAAGGAUGGGGGC